GCUGAGAUCGCGCCACUGCACUCCAGCCUGGUGACAGAGCGAGACUCUGUCUCAAAAAAAAAAAAGUUUCUCUUUAUGCCAAUUAUUAUCUGUACUAGUUUUUAAUGUUCAAUUACUACAAGAUUAUAAUAUUGUUUUUAUUCAUGUUCAGAAGAAAAAUACAUAAGAUUCACACCCAACACACUUCGAAAUUUAUUUAACUCCCUUUGACUAUAUGUGAUUAUCAAUAAAGUAUUUUUCAAGAUAUUAAAAAUAAGUAAAGGAAAAUGAAAUAUUUUUAGGACAUUCAAAAUCUAAUGAAGUUCAGUGUUUCUUUAAUUGAGGGCAGAGGUGGGGGAGAAUUUCAGAAGGUAGUGAACCCAAAGGUGGAUUCUUGCAUAAUUCUACUAUUCUGUACUCUCAUCAUCUUAACUCAUUUGUUUACUACCCUAACCAUAGUUACUAAGCGGAGUUUUAUCAAUAAUAUAGAUAGCUAUCAAAGUGUUGACAUUCGGAGGAGAUUACAAAUAUUAUUUUCUAUCACAUUGUCCUACCAUGUGGACAAGGAAGUCCACAGUCUUCCUUGAAUUACCUUCCAGUUUUGCUGGGCUGCAUCUACCAUUGAUGUCUAGUUUUGACUUUUUCUGACUUCACCAAUUGCUGCUAGGAAUGUGCUGGUCGCUUAGCAGCACACCCAAAUCACAGGGAAGAUCUUGAAAUACCUGGACAGUCUGAACACACGGCUCUGAAUUUUCUAAGAAGUACCAGGGAACUGCAUCCUCUUGCUGAAAUCUUGAAUUUUUGUCAGCUUUUUUUUUUACUGUGGACAGUAAAGCUGGAAAGAUCUAAAUAACCCAACAGGAAAUGCUGAUGAAAGUGCAAGAGUUGAUUUGUGGUCAUCUAAAGUCCAUGUCUCCAAGACUGCUGGACCUUCAAAUUCUGCAACUUGUUAGAUCAUCUGGAUGAUAGCACAACUGUUAGAAGACCUAGAAGAAUACAGCGUUGCUGUGACUCAGUGGUGCUGAAUGCAGACCAUCUACCAGCUGGGGAAAGAAUCAAUUACAACAGGAAUAAAGGAAAUCAUUCCUCAUUUUAACUGAUGUUACAGUGAAGAUGGGUUCUUGAACUCUUGGAAGCCUGGAUAAGCCACCUAAUCUGCAAGAUAAAAACCAAAGACUAACGCAUAUUGGGGAAAAGAAUGCUUAGUACUUGAAGACUGAAUGUUGAAUACCUGUUGAAUAUUCCUAUUGAGGUUUUUUCCUAAACAUACUUCAGUAACAUCUUAGGACAAUUCACUGGAGAAAUGUUGAUCCCUGGCUGGAAUUUCAUACCAUUGACCCAUCUGAAGAGUUAAAGCUGAAUUUGACUGCUCUAUUCUACCAGGAAUAUUGUUAGGCUGUCCUUUCACCAGUUUCUAAACAAUUGUAAUCAUUUAUUGACUCAGCAAUUCCUCAGAUACCAGGUCAAAAGAUGUACAGAUAUAUUCUAAAGUUUUUCUAUUAUUAAAGGCACAAGAGUUUCCUUGUAUUUUGACUGACAGUGUAACUUGUUUCCAUUUUAGUUUGUUAGUGAUGGUGGUUCUCCCUUUGAAAGCCAUUUGGUAUAUUCGUAACAAUUAGUUUAAUAUGAUUGCAUAAGAAAACUGAUAAAACCCAACAAUUUUAGUAGUUGUGAAAAUAUGUUUUUAAUUCAUGUUUAAGAAGAAUUGCAGGACUUGAAACCAAAUCCUGAUGGGGGAAGGGCCAUUUCUGUUUAAUCCUUAGCUUCUUAACCUGCAUCGUUUAUCCUGUAUUGUAAUUUUUUUCUUUUUUAAACUCCCAAACAAGAAGCUUGAAACUUUUCCUGUAUUUUAAAAUUGCAGUUAGGUCACAGGGUUUAGUCAGAUUUUUUUAAAUUAAGGUUUGGCUUGACAGUCUUUAAAAGAAAGGUUUACCUCGCUAAUACUUCUUAAUAACAUGCAUCAAAUAAUAUUCCCUGUGGUGAUGUAUAUUCUCAAAGUUUUGUUAUCUUUCAUUUUUGGUAUUUGCUGCUUAUGGACUUAGUACCCAGGCAACAAAGAUCUAUUAUGCACCUACUCUGUUGUAUGUUUGGUAUUAUUUCC